AGUCGUGGCCGAGUAGUUGAGGCGAUGGACUAGAAAUCCAUUGGGGUCUCCCCACACAGGUUCGAAUCCUGUCGACUGCG
rnacentral:tRNA from 1 species